UGGGGAAUAUUGCACAAUGGGGGAAACCCUGAUGCAGCGACGCCGCGUGAGCGAAGAAGUAUUUCGGUAUGUAAAGCUCUAUCAGCAGGGAAGAAAAUGACGGUACCUGACUAAGAAGCACCGGCUAAAUACGUGCCAGCAGCCGCUGUAAUACAGAUCU
rnacentral:rRNA from 1 species